UUCACAACAAAAAAAAAUGUCAAGUGAAGUACAUAUUCACAUACUACUAAAAAAAGAAAUUCACAACACACAAAUGUGUGCUACAGUGACUCAAGUCUCCAACAGAAGGCAAAUGAAGAUAAGAACUCCAUAGUAAGCAAAAAGUUACUAUAAUUUUCAGAGUAAACCCCGAAUUCUCACGAAGGGCUCAUUAACACGAUUUUUUAUAUCAAUGGCAACAAAGAUUUUUAGCAAAAACACAACUCAGUUUAUAGUAUAAUAUCUUUCUGGACCAUCCUUAACCUUAAAAAAAUAAAUAAUAAUGAAUUAAUAAUAAAAACCAGUUUCCAGCAAACUAAAAUUCAAAGGUCAUAAAGGUGUUCCAAUAAAUCAUUCUCUACAAAAUAUUUUUUUUUUCAACUGGACAACUAUUCUAGGCUUGAUUUACUUCUGUUUCCAUAGAAAAAUUACAAGCUAAUAUAUGUCAAAUUAGAAAUUGGAAUAGCUAUGUAUAUAUUGCACAAAGGAGUAAAAAUUAUGUUAAAAAUAUCAAUAUUAUAUAGUUUACCUUUCAAAUGAAGAUUUUUUACCAGAAUGUGGAUAAGCCUCGUCUACGUACUCUUAUCAUUCAAAAUAUAAUAUUUUCUUCAAAAAACACCUUCACCUAGACAAAAAAAAUUCACAAUACUAUUAAUAAGGUGACAUGAGAAGCCAAACGAUAAGGUGACAAAAAUUGAGGAAGAUAAAGAGUUUUAAAUCAAGAAAAUAAAAUAUGUUAAGAAGAAGUAAAAAAUGUUAGAAUUGGAAAGCCAAAAGAUCAAAUAGAAUAUCAAACGAAUGGCCAACUCCCCUUGUCUUGUUUGGCUUAUAUAUAUACAAAGUAAAUAACACAUUGGAGUGGGAGAAGAGAGUAAUUAGAGUAAUUAGAGUAAUUAAGGAGGGGAUUGAGAAAGUGACUAUUGGAAUGCCUAGUAAUGGAAUAGGAGUAAUAUUUAGUGUAAUUACACACUAUUACACCUUAAUAGACAUUAAUCUUAGGAAUUAAGGAAGGAGAAGUAAACCAAAAUAUUUAGAGUUAUUGGGAAUAAACUCAAAAAAAGGAGAAAAUAGAUAAAUAAGAUCCUUGGCCAAAGAGAGGUGCCAACUCAUCUCCUAUUUUUUUAACUUUUUUCUAUUAUAUAGAAAAGAAAAGGAGAGAUGGUCGACCACGGGGCAAAAUUGUCAUUUUGCUCAAAAGAAAAAGUGCUUGUAUCUAACUCCAUCUCUUCCGACCUUUUUUUUCCUCAUCCUCCAUACACGACGUGGGUCUAGAAACAUCUUCCGAUUUCCAUCUCUUUUGUUCCAACACAUCGGAGGAGUACUUCAGUUCUCCUUCUUCAAACUUUCAACAAUAACUCUUUUCAUCUUCUUAUUUAUCUAUUAAAUUUCAGUUGGUUUGUUCUCUUGUUAGUUCAGCACACGAAUGCACAUGGGUAAUCAGAGAACCCAAAAAAGGAUUAUUUUCAAGGUCAUGGAAGCGUACUCAAAGGUCCUCCUCCAUCGCUUCAAGUGGCAAAGGUUGUGAACUAUGUUUCUUGAUGUAGGUGCUCCCGGACAUAGCGGGUGUUGAUCCUUUCGCGCGGUUGAUUUUCAGGAGAUUUUGAGAAGCUGAUUAUUCAUCAAAGGGAGAUUUAAAAGAACCCCAUGACCGAGGAAAAGAAGUUAUUUGAAGAGUACCCAAUAGUAGAUGUUUCCAGUAAUGCACAAAUAUUUGCAAGUUGGACUAUGUUAUCUCUUUUGUUCAUAGUGCAAAUACAUUUGGUUGAUUACGUAGCAUAGGAUGGUGGGUAGGGAAUGGAGAGCAAAUACAUUUGGUUGAUUAAGUAGCUUGAGUUUGAUUUUGUAUAUAAAGGGAGUAGAAGAAAAGGAAAUAUUUGCUCAGUUUCAAUAAGUCUAGGAAGACAAUAUACAUUAUUCUAUGUUUGUCACUAUUUUCCAAGGUUAGAAUUGUGCUUCCGUCUUUGUGAACUAAUGUCUAUUCUAAAUCAUUUAUAGUUUUUUAGGGUCA